UCCUGCUGCCAGACCUCGGCCCUGGCUCCGCCCCUCUUGCGCCCGAGUCCUGGGCAGAAGUAGCUCCCCUCUUCAGCACGCGCCACCUCCUGUGGCCGCCUCGGCGCCAGGCCCUGGGUCUCGCCUGAGGGCGCCGGGGUCCCGCGGCGCAACCGGCCCCGUCUCGCUGGCAGUCCGCCGCCUCCUAGGGCGAGAGGUUGCCAGCCUAAGCCUGCAGCGCGCAGAGGCCAGACCCUUCCCCGGGACCCGCGCGCUGUGCUACCCAGGGAUCCCCACUGCUGGGAACACGAGGCUUUUCUAGUUUACGGCGUGACCCGCUUGGAGGAAUUGCGGUGCCGAGACCCCUUAGGGACAGGGUGUCUAUUCCCUACUUAAAGGGGCGAAGACUCCGGUUCAGCCCACUGUGCCAGACCUUCGGAGGAAUCCUUAUGCAAAUGAGCGUUUUAACAAUCCAGAUGACGGAUGCGGUCAGGAUAGGCGGCAGGGGUCCGGCCCCCCACCAGUUGGAGAGCCAAGCUAAGGGGAGGUCGGAAUGUUUGCUUACCUUUUCACCUCUGAGGAAGUCGUGGCUUUAACUCUGUUCACGGCCAACCUGGCAGAGCGAGCUGUGGGAACGUUUAAAGCCUAAGAUUGUAGGAGCUGGCAAGGCUCCAUUUAAUCCAGGGCCCUCAUUUUACAGACGGAGAAACUGAGGCUCAGAGGAAGGUCACCCAGGUGGGCCUGGAUGCCAGUUCCCGGUAUGGUGGCGCCGAAAUUGUGUCAUUUCUACUAGUCUGUGCUUUGCAAUUUAAGGUCGUCCUCUGAUUAUUAAAAUGCGGAAACUGAGGCCGAGUGAGGAGCACAGCUUGCUUGGUAAAGCUUUUCCUGGGAGGCGGCAUAUGCUCUGCCGAGGAAGAGGAGCUGCCUAGAAAUGAGAGGAAGCACAACGAGAUUCAUCCCUGUCUUCCCAGCAUCCGGAGGGGGCUCCAGGAAGGUUGCGGGGUCCAGGUAGCCCCUUCCACACAAGUCCCAGUCGUGCUGACACGCAAGCCUGUCCGGGGUGUCGCUAAGCCAGCUCUGUUGUUCCCUCCACCUCAGAUGAGUCCAAUGUGCAGCCAAGUUUGAAAACCACUGGACUAGAGCAAGGGCUCUUAAAGUGAGGUCCCAGGACCAGAGCAUCAGCUUCACCUGAGAACCUGAGGCCAGUGUAAUGGAUUCUGAGAAGUGGAGAUUAGGCGGGAGGAAGGGAGGAGAACAAAUGUGGACACAGAACACAAGAGGACGCUGUGCUGGCCACUGUGCUCCAGGCUUCGUCGUCCCACAGAAGCGCAUAUGGUGGGCACUAACACCUAUCUUCCAGCUGAGGACGUGAGGGCUCAGAGGUCACACAGCUAAUAAGAGCUGGACUCAGGUAUGUUCAAUGUAAAGGCCUCCUUUCUUUCCUUGGGUUUUUUGUUUGUUUGUUUGUUUGUUUUGGA